GACGUAGGGGGCGAGCGUUGUCCGGAUUCAUUGGGCGUAAAGGGUGCGUAGGCGGCGCGGUAAGUCGGGUGUGAAAUUUCGAGGCUUAACUUCGAAACUGCAUUCGAUACUGCCGUGCUUGAGGACUGGAGAGGAGACUGGAAUUCAUGGUGUAGCAGUGAAAUGCGUAGAGAUCAUGAGGAAGACCAGUGGCGAAGGCGGGUCUCUGGACAGUUCCUGACACUGAGACACGAAGGCCAGGGGAGCAAACGGG
rnacentral:rRNA from 1 species